UCUCAUGAAUGAGCAAAGGAAGUGGUUUCUUGAGAUGGAAUCUACUCCUGGUAAGGAUGCUGUGAA
rnacentral:pre_miRNA from 1 species